rnacentral:rRNA from 1 species
UACAGAGGGGGCAAGCGUUGUUCGGAAUUACUGGGCGUAAAGGGCGCGUAGGCGGCCCGCUAAGUCGAACGUGAAAUCCCCGGGCUCAACCCGGGAACUGCGUCCGAUACUGGUGGGCUCGAAUCCGGGAGAGGGAUGCGGAAUUCCAGGUGUAGCGGUGAAAUGCGUAGAUAUCUGGAGGAACACCGGUGGCGAAGGCGACAUCCUGGACCGGUAUUGACGCUGAGGAGCGAAAGCCAGGGGAGCAAACGGG